AGCUCAAGCGGGCUCCGCUUCUUCCCCAUCUCUCCCGGUUUUUGGUCGGUGGCUAUUACUGCUCUUCCAUAAUGUCCUGGAGUUCUAUGAGCCUUUCCUUUCCUCUCGAGUUUUGGCGAUUAUUAUCUUGAUCAUGCAGGAUUUUGUCAGGCUUUUGAAUUUCUCAGUUAAUUUGACCCAUCGUGGUUGCACGGAGUGCUAUUUUGAGUUGGUUUGAUCAGUCUUUUGUUGGAUUUUUGGGAAUUGUUGUCUGUUCAACAACACCGUUUAUUUCUUUGAUUCAAGACCUGUUUGAUUUCGAUUUUUGGAUUAUCUAUUGGCAGUGAUAUGAUUAUUGUCCUGCAGAUGUGCUUAUUUGGUGAAUUGUUUUAGAGGGUCCUGAGAUGGAUGGGUUUGCAUUAGACUUGAGUUGGAUUCUUCUCUGAUUUAGCGAUCUUUAAAUUUGUAUUGAGGAUUAGUUUUGAUUCUCUCUGAUUUAGCGGUUUUUAAAUCGGCGUUGAAUCUUUGUGGUGGUUUUCUUGUUCAUCAGGUAGAUUGAGUAUUCCUUGGCUGCAUAUAUUGGGUGAUGGAUCAUCUAUUUGACGAAGAAUAAGUUCUCCUCAUCUCUUAGCCUUUUCUGUUCCUGAAUUUCUCAAGUGUUCUUUUUUUAUACGGAUACAUACGUGCAAGUUUGUCAUGAAUUUACAGGAUUCAGAAGGUCAAUUUGAACUGGACAUGUCUAUUUAGAUGCCUAUUUCAUAAGGGGGUGUUUCUCGGCUAUACAAGUUCAUAUUUAAGUUUAUAAGCAUGAUGAUAAUUCAGAAGUUCUACAUAGGAUCCUAAUCCAGUUAUCAUUCUUUUCUAGGGCGAUGUGAAUUGGGUACCGGGAUUGUUGAGGUUUGAAGAUUUUGUUACACCACUUCCUUUUUUUUAAUUAGUGGAUUUAACUGUAAGCAAUCAUGCAGUCAUUUAUUCAUGUUCGUAGUACCUUCUGCCGUAAAGUUUGUAUAAGCUAAAUUUUGAUCCUACAGAUGGGCAUGCUAUUCUUUUUUCAUUCACUUUAGUUAAACUUUUAUGAUUUCAGUUCAUUUGGUGGGAGGUUGAAUCGGAGGUUGUAUUUCCUGUGCAAUACAGUGGGGAUAUGAGCAAAGCCUUUGUUGUGGAUGUUCUCUUUGGUUUCUCACAAAAGAAUUUCUGUGACCGAUCAAAAAAAAUUAUGUGCUUACCAAUUAAAAAUUUUUCUCUAUUGAGGGGCUAGAAUAUUCUCUUUUCAAUGUAUUUUUGGUUUCUUAUGCUUGGGUUGUUUGUGACUUUUUAUAAAGAAAAAAGGAUUGACAACCCAAAUAAUAACAAAUUUAUGCAUUUGAUGAGGUUUCAUAAGAACAACUAUGUAAUGUUAAGAGCUUUAAGGAGCAUGCGAAGUGCUUUGGGUCUGUGAUUUUCAGAUCUUGUGGUUGUGAGGAGCUUUUGUCAUCCAGAUUUUUAUUUUCUGAAGCCUUUGUAAUUGGCAUUAAUUUUUUAUUAAAAGAUAGAAUAUAUAUUGAGGAAGAUAAUUGGAUUGGGUUUAUAUUAUUGAAUCUAAUUGGAUAUCAGUUUGAUGUCCUAACCAUUUGAUUUUUUUUUUCUUUGUUGUUUAAGACAGGCCUGUCCCUGUAAUAGAACUUCUAGUUUUCAUCUAUACUUUCCACCUUUUAUCCUCUUCAUAUCUGAUGGAUCAUUUUGUACAUUGAAUGGGUUAUGGUGAAGUCUGUCUUGAACAUUCAGGACUUGGAUUGACAGUUCUUUUUUAGUGAAAUUUAACAAGGUUUUAUGUGGAAUACCAUAGAAUCCUAGUUAAUGAGAAAGUGUCAUAACUCAUUGUGAAUGGUCUUGGUUGGCUUUCAGUUGCUGUUCCCAUCCCUUAUUCGAGGAACUAUUUUUGGUGUUCUCACUGUUGGAGACUUUGAAUUGCAACUUAAUCUUACAAUAAAUCAAUUGGCUAGAGGCCUAUGAAAAUGCGUUUUUUUGUGACAUCAGAAGUUUUAAUAUGCAAUGUUUGUGAUCUUCAUGUAAUAAUGAAGAGUAUACAGAUGAUUGCUAUUGCAGAAGAAAGCUUUCAUGGCUAUACAGAUCUCUAAUUGGUAUGAGGAUCUUUCAGUGGUUAUUUGAUUCAUCAAAUUUUCAGGGCUAUUCAUAAGAGGGUUUUCGUGGCUAUACAGAUAAUGACUAUUGCACAAGAGGGUUUUCAUAGCUUAUACAGAUAAUGACUAUUUGCAAAAGAGGGUUUUCGUGGCUUAUACAUAUAAUGAUUAUAGCUAAAGAUGACUUUUGUGGAUAUACGGAUAACGGCCAUGAAAGAGGAGGGUUUUCAUGGCUGUAUAUAUCUCUUACUAAAUUGGCAACAUGACUUUGGGUCCUUCCACUGUGCAGAAAGCUUCUUGAUGCCAAGUAUUGACUCAAGAGAUUCCUGGUUUUUAUUUGGACGAGAGAUGGAAUGGUAUCUGUUCUAAAACUCAUGAGUGUGGGUUCUUCUUUUAUUAUGUACAAUUCAUGAGCUUUUAGUCCUAGUUUUAUUCUUCUUAGGCAGUGCUUUGGAUAAUCAUUUUGGUUUUGUUGUUCUGCAGCGAUAUUGGGAAUUUCUCUAUUUAUGCUUUGGUCUAUCUUACAAAUAUUGAUCAAGAGAUCCUGUUAUUAGAAAAUAUCUGUGCUCAAAAUGAGUUUAUCAUUUUUCCCCGUAUGUUCUCCUUGGCCCUUCAAUUUCCUGAUGACUGGUUCCAUGGGAAUGUUUAUGUUGUGGGCUUUUUUUUGAUAGUAAAAUAAGAUUGAUUAAAAGAAAAAGGAAAGAACAAGAUAAGGUGACAAGAAUCGCCCAAAAGAGAGAGUAAAACCACUCAAUAACAAAGACUCACCUCUACCCGUACUAAUAAAAUAUCCAAUACACCCACAAUCUUCAACAACCUUAUCUACCCUCAAUCUUCAACUCCAACCUUUCACUCACCUGACAUACAAUGGCUUCCCAAAAUCAUUAACCCCUAUCCAUCUCUCAUACAACUAAGACACCCUACUGAUGAAAACUAGACUCCAUGUUGGUUCCACUCGUAUUUGUGUCCACUAGCUGUCCUGCUUUAUUGGAUAAAUUAGAAUCCAACACAAUUCUUCUCUUAUUAAGAUUCUUAUGUUGUGGUGGAUUAUAAAGCCAUUUGAAAUUUGACAUGAGAGAUUGGAGUUCCCAUCACAUCUCACCACUCGUUUUGUGCUGAUUCUCAUUUAAUAAAUUAACAUCAAAUUAUUGAAUAGCCAUGUUUGGUCCUUCGGGAAAGUGCAAGUUCCAUUAAAUUGAGUUUUUCCAUUCUCAUACGAUUCUCACUUGGUUUAUCAUAUAGUUCUCCUAAUUACUACUUUACAUACUCAUGGUAUUGAAGUGAUGAAAGGUGACUUGCCUUGAAGGACAAGUAAACAAGAAGUAAAAGUCAUCCAUACUUCGGAUAUCUUUAGAGUAUGUUUAUUCUGACCAAGUUUUAACUGAAAAAGAACCUACUUCCAUGAUAUAAAAACUAGCCUUUCUACUAGAGUUGUAAACAGAUGAUGGAGAAUUGUAAUUGGAUGUAUAAAAAUGUGGAAACAUGUUUCUCUCAUGACAUGAAGGUUGAUUUCUGUUGCACAUAGGAAUAUGGAUAUCUUCACCUUGGCAUCCCUAGCUCUAUUAGUUAUAUUUUAACCAAGAUGAACUAAAUUAAUUUGGAAAGUAUUUUUCAAUGGUGUGUCUUUGAACUUUUGGCAAUGUGCUAAUCCGAUGUGUUAUAUAAGAACUAUGCUUUGCAAGUAUAUCGUGUUGUUUUAGGUGAAUUACCUUGUUCUUGUCAGUAUAAAAAGGCCAUUACUCAAUUUUUCUCCUGACUAUUUGCGGUUUUGAUAAGGAUGGACUGAAUGCAGACCUAAGCUAUUGAAUUUUGGUAUGAAGUGGCUCCUCCUGGACUGAAACCUGUAUUCUCAUGAUUUGUUAGACCAAGAAUUUACUAUCACGAUUCGUAAUUCUCAUCUGGGACAAUGUAGUCAUUAUAGUAUAUAAAAUGGGGAAAAAUAGUCAUGGAAAAGCUCUAGAUGGACAUGUUAUCGGAGGAGAAGUCUUGCUGCGCUCUGUCCUGAUUUCAAAUGCAAUGCAAGAUUAACAUUGUCAUUUCACUCUGUCCAAUUUCAAGGAAAGUUAUUGUAUUGGAUGAAAAAUGAUGCCGUUAUUAAGCAAGUGCAUUGCUUGAUCAACUUAGUCAUUCUUCCGCAGUUUGUUCACUUACAAGCAGUCUCAUCAUCUAAUCUCAAUCACAACAGUCAAAGUGCUUAAAUCCUAGAAGGCAAUGACUUUGAACUCCCUUAUUGUGGGUUGCAUUUGUCUUCAGUUAAUUUUGGGAAUCUCUUUUGAUCAGGAUUAUUAGUUAUUUGCAUAUGAUUGCAUCACAAUAAGGACCUUUACUCCAUCCAUUUUUAUUGACCGCUGAAGGGUUAUUGUUUUAUAGAUGAUAUGGUGAGUUGGUACAUGGGUAUUGAGAGUGCUGAUAUGAAUAAAUUCUUUUCGUUAUAUUGUAUCAUCAUCAAGACAUGUUCUAUUUAUGUUUUGAUAGGCAGUGGAAUGAUUAUUGCUCUGCACAUUUGUGGAGUUGCAUGGUUUCUGAGGAUUCUCCGAUAUAGUAGACUUUUAGUUCGUGUAUUCUUCUUCCAUUCAUCAAAUCUUCAUGGCCACACAGAAGAGGGUUUUCAUGGCUAUAUAGAUAAUGAUAUUGCAAAGAGGAUUUUUGUGGGUACAGAGAAGUGGGUUUUCAUUGCUAUACAGAUCUUUAACUAAAUUGGUAUUAUGACCUUUGGGUGAUUCUUCCGUUCAUCAAUUUUUCCAGUCGGUAGUCCUUUCUGCCGAUGUUUUGCACCAAAAGUCUCUAUAUAGAUAAUGACUAUUAUGGACGAGGGUUUUUGUGGCUACACAGAUAAUGAAUAUUGCGGAAGAGGGUUUUCAUGGUAUUACAGAUUGUUUUGCGUUGGUAGGGAAUUUAAAAACAACGGGCAGACGAUUAUUUAA